rnacentral:tRNA from 1 species
GCAGUCGUGGCCGAGUGGUUAAGGCGAUGGACUAAAUCCAUUGGGAUCUUCCCGCGUAGGUUCGAAUCCUACCGACUGCG